UACGUAGGGGGCGAGCGUUAUCCGGAUUCACUGGGUUUAAAGGGUGCGUAGGUGGGCAGGUAAGUCAGUGGUGAAAUCCUGUAGCUUAACUACAGAACUGCCAUUGAUACUAUUUGUCUUGAAUACCCUGGAGGUGAGCGGAAUAUGUCAUGUAGCGGUGAAAUGCUUAGAUAUGACAUAGAACAUCUAUUGCGAAGGCAGCUCACUACGGGAAUAUUGACGCUGAGGCACGAAAGCGUGGGGAUCAAACAGG
rnacentral:rRNA from 1 species